rnacentral:rRNA from 1 species
GACGAACGCUGGCGGCGUGCUUAACACAUGCAAGUCGAACGGAAAGGCCCUGCUGUUGUGGGGUGCUCGAGUGGCGAACGGGUGAGUAACACGUGAGUCACCUGCCCUUGACUUUGGGAUAACUUCUGGAAACUAGGGCUAAUACCGGAUAGGAGCUCCUGCUGCAUGGUGGGGGUUGGAAAGUUUCUGCGGUUGGUGAUGGACUCGCGGCUUAUCAGCUUUUUGGUGGGGGAGUGGCUUACCAAGGCUUUGACGGGUAGCCGGCCUGAGAGGGGGAACGGCCACAUUGGGACUGAGAUAGGGACCAGACUCCUACGGGAGGCAGCAGUGGGGAAUAUUGCACAAUGGGGGGAAGUCUGAUGCAGCAACGCCGCGUGCGGGAUGAAGGCCUUCGGGUUGUAAACCGCUUUCGCCUGUGACGAAGCGUGAGUGACGGUAAUGGGUAAAGAAGCACCGGCUAACUACGUG